AUAGAGCAACUGCCUUCUAAGCAGUGGGUCACUGGUUCGAAUCCAGUUGGACGUGCCA
rnacentral:tRNA from 1 species